ACAUUCGAACUGAAGAGAAGAAAAAAAGCAAAAGAUGGGAGCGUCAUAGAAGGGAAAGUGGUUGAUCCUCUUGAUUGAGGAAGUCUCCUUCAUUUCGUUUUUUUUUUUUU
rnacentral:ribozyme from 11 species